AAAUUCUAGAAUGCAACGGGUAUAUUAGUGACGUGGCAUAACAAACCAAUCAAAUUAAUCCUUUUAAGAAUAUAUGUCCCAUCAUGAUGGUAAAAAAGUAUUUUUAUUGUACUUUUAUUUGAAAAGAAGGAAUGUGAUUGGCUUGUUAUUGAUGACGUGGUGCAAGUGUGACAGUGUAGAAUUCCUCCUCCCCCUCCCUCCCUCUCUCCCCUCCCUCGGAAAAAUCAAAAAUCUCCAAAUUCUCUCUCUCUCUCUCUCUGUCUCUCCUCGCUUUAUUCU
rnacentral:lncRNA from 1 species